CGGGAUCGGGAUCGGGAUCGAGAGCGGCAGCGGCAGCAGGUUAGUGUUGGGUUAGGGUUAGGGUUAGGGUUGGGGUUAUAUCGGUUUAGUUGGUUCGAUUGAACCNNNNNNNNNNNNNNNNNNNNCUCGCGGGAGGCGCGAGCAGCGACAGCGGCAGCGGGAGCAGCGGCAGCGAGCGACGAGAUCGCGAUCGGGAUCGGGAUCGGGAUCGGGAUCGAGAGCGGCAGCGGCAGCAGGUUAGUGUUGGGUUAGGGUUAGGGUUAGGGUUGGGGUUAUAUCGGUUUAGUUGGUUCGAUUGAACCAACUAGCAACCGAACCAGGACCGAACCAGACCUAAAAUUCUGGUUCGGUCGCCUUGGUUUACCCAGGCGCUCGCCCGAAGCGCCCAGCGCCUGGGCUCGGGCGAGCGCCCAGGCGGCGCCUGUUUGAAGCGCGCCGCCUAGGACAUUAGCGAGGCGCUCGGGCCUCGCCUCGCCUCGCCCGAGCGCCUAGGCGAGC
rnacentral:lncRNA from 1 species